rnacentral:rRNA from 1 species
GAUGAACGCUGGCGGCGUGCCUAAUACAUGCAAGUCGAGCGAACAGACGAGGAGCUUGCUCCUCUGACGUUAGCGGCGGACGGGUGAGUAACACGUGGAUAACCUACCUAUAAGACUGGGAUAACUUCGGGAAACCGGAGCUAAUACCGGAUAAUAUAUUGAACCGCAUGGUUCAAUAGUGAAAGACGGUUUUGCUGUCACUUAUAGAUGGAUCCGCGCCGCAUUAGCUAGUUGGUAAGGUAACGGCUUACCAAGGCAACGAUGCGUAGCCGACCUGAGAGGGUGAUCGGCCACACUGCAACUGGGACACGGUCCAGACUCCUACGGGAGGCAGCAGUAGGGAAUCUACCGCAGUGGGCGAAAGCCUGACGGAGCAACGCCGCGUGAGUGAUGAAGGUCUUCGGAUCGUAAAACUCUGUUAGUAGGGAAGAACAAAUGUGUAAGUAACUAUGCACGUCUUGACGGUACCUAAUCAGAAAGCCACGGCUAACUACGU